AUUGAACGCUGGCGGCAGGCCUAACACAUGCAAGUCGAACGAGUGGCGGACGGGUGAGUAAUGUCUGGGAAACUGCCUGAUGGAGGGGGAUAACUACGGGAAACGGUAGCUAAUACCGCAUACCCUCAGAUGUGCCCCGAUGGGAUUAGCUUGUUGGUGGGGUAACGGCUUACCAAGGCGACGAUCCCUAGCUGGUUGGAGAGGAUGACCAGCCACACGGGAACUGAGACACGGUCCAGACUCCUACGGGAGGCAGCAGGGGGGAAUAUUGGACAAUGGGCGCAAGCCUGAUGCAGCCAUGCCGCGUGUAUGAAGAAGGCCUGCGGGUUGUAAAGUACUUGCAGCGGGGAGGCGGUACCCGCAGAAGAAGCACCGGCUAACUCCGUGCAAGCAGCCGCGGUAAUAC
rnacentral:rRNA from 1 species